rnacentral:rRNA from 1 species
CCUACGGGAGGCAGCAGUGGGGAAUAUUGGACAAUGGGCGAAAGCCUGAUCCAGCAACGCCGCGUGAGGGAUGACGGCCUUCGGGUUGUAAACCUCUUUCAGCGCAGACGAAGCGAAAGUGACGGUAUGCGCAGAAGAGGCACCGGCCAACUACGUGCCAGCAGCCGCGGUAAUACGUAGGGUGCGAGCGUUGUCCGGAAUUAUUGGGCGUAAAGGGCUCGUAGGCGGUUUGUUGCGUCGGGAGUGAAAACUCAGGGCUUAACCCUGAGCCUGCUUCCGAUACGGGCAGACUAGAGGUAUGCAGGGGAGAACGGAAUUCCUGGUGUAGCGGUGAAAUGCGCAGAUAUCAGGAGGAACACCGGUGGCGAAGGCGGUUCUCUGGGCAUUACCUGACGCUGAGGAGCGAAAGUGUGGGGAGCGAACAGGAUUAGAUACCCUGGUAGUCCACACCGUAAACGUUGGGCGCUAGGUGUGGGACUCAUUCCACGAGUUCCGUGCCGCAGCUAACGCAUUAAGCGCCCCGCCUGGGGAGUACGGCCGCAAGGCUAAAACUCAAAUGAAUUGACGGNNGAGAGNGCGACGACGACGACGAGGGAGAG